GGGGGGCCCAAGGUGAUCACAAAGGUCCUUCCAAGUACAAGAGGAGGAAGCAGAGAAAGAGGAGAAAGAUGAGGAGAGAAGCCGGGAUAGAGAGGUGGGAUGGUGGAAGCACACACAGAGGGCUGGAGAUGCUGGUUGGAAGAUGGAGAAAGGAGACAUGAGCCAAGGAAAGUGGGCAGGCUCUAGAAACUGGAGAAACAAGGAAAUUGAUUUUUCCCAAGAGCUUCCAGAAACAACACAGCCCUGAGUGAUUUUAGCCCACUGAGACCCAUGUUAGAUGGUUCACCUACAGAGCUGUAAGAAAAUAAAUCUGUGUUGUCUUAAGCCAUGAUUUUGUGGCAUUUUAUUAGAGCAGCAAUAGGAAAUUAAUACAGUAGGAACCAGUUGUUACUGUGAUGCCCUCUCUGAAGGAUUUUAAUAAGACGGCAUCUAGGAAUUCAUCAACAUCUCUGGAGUCUCACACAAUUCAUUCAUUGCUGGGGAAACACUCUAGCUGAGGAAGGUUGACCCAGAACCUCUGAGGUGUCCCCAAGAUCAGGCAGUGCAGUGGCCAUGAACAGCCAGUGGGAGUAUGUCCCAUGUAGGGCAUACUCAUUAGAAGAAGAAUUCAAAGACUCCCAACAUCACAAGGGAUUGAGAGUAGAAUCCUGCUAUGCAUCAGAGACGUAUCCACACCAGAACCUCACUGCCAACCUACAGAACCCUGGUCCUAGCUUCAGCCAGGAAUGGGGCCGGGAGACACCUGAAGUGAUGGGAAGGGUGCACUGUGGUUCUUCCAGCUCCUGGCCAGGGAAACAGCACAAUACCAAUUUGCAGGAGAGAGGUGAAUGCAUGAUUCCCUGGAUCUGCACACAGGGCUGUGGCCUCUGCAGCAGCAUGACCUGUACAGAACCCAAGGAGACACCUGAAGAAAGACAGUGACUGACCCAAGGUCAAAGGCAGCCCAGCCACAGAGCAGAUGUCUUGAUUGCAGACUUUAAAAAGGUAAGUGGAGAGGACAAUAUAAUGAGCCCUACAUAUAUUACCCAGCCCCCACGUUAUCAAAUCCUGGCUAAGGCCGUUUUACCCACAUGCCCUCUUCUCUACUGCUUCCCAGAUUAUUUUG
rnacentral:lncRNA from 1 species